AUGAAUGAUGUUGGGUUUUUGAAAGCUUUUAGUUUUUGAAAACGUCGAUGUGACGCCCUUUGGUUAUAUGCGUGCUUAUUCACUCUGAUUAUAUGUUAAGUAUUUUGGGGUAUAAAAAGGGGUGUUACAGUGCGCAUCUCCUUUCCGAGGGUUUUGUCGACUAUUUCCCCUUUCCUCUCCGAUGGAGGUAAACUAAAUAAAAUUUGGUGGCGACUCUUCUGAUUUUGCCUCUCUCUGGCAUCUCUUUAGUCC
rnacentral:lncRNA from 1 species